rnacentral:lncRNA from 1 species
AAAUUCCACACAAUGAGUAGUGGCAUGCAGAGAUAGAGACCUAUUGCUUGGCUAGGGUAAUAGAAAGAACGUUGAAAAAAAGAAUGAAAAAGAAAAGCUGUAUAUUAUGGUAUAUGGAAGGGACGAAGGUGGAAUGAGUUAAAGAGGAAAGGGUACCUUUAAUAAGAGCUGUCCCUUUUGACUUCCUCAACAUCUACGUAGUCCUAAAAAGGCUCCAACUCGGCUCGUC